rnacentral:rRNA from 1 species
UACAGAGGGGGCGAGCGUUGUUCGGAAUUACUGGGCGUAAAGGGCGCGUAGGCGGCCAACUAAGUCAGACGUGAAAUCCCUCGGCUCAACCGGGGAACUGCGUCUGAUACUGGAUGGCUUGAAUUCGGGAGAGGGAUGCGGAAUUCCAGGUGUAGCGGUGAAAUGCGUAGAUAUCUGGAGGAACACCGGUGGCGAAGGCGGCAUCCUGGACCGAGGUUGACGCUGAUGCGCGAAAGCCAGGGGAGCAAACGGG